CAGUCGCCGCGGUAAUACGUAGGUCCCGAGCGUUAUCCGGAUUUAUUGGGCGUAAAGCGAGCGCAGGCGGUUAGAUAAGUCUGAAGUUAAAGGCUGUGGCUUAACCAUAGUACGCUUUGGAAACUGUUUAACUUGAGUGCAGAAGGGGAGAGUGGAAUUCCAUGUGUAGCGGUGAAAUGCGUAGAUAUAUGGAGGAACACCGGUGGCGAAAGCGGCUCUCUGGUCUGUAACUGACGCUGAGGCUCGAAAGCGUGGGGAGCAAACAGGAUUAGAUACCCCCGUAGUCCCUGUCUCUUAUACA
rnacentral:rRNA from 1 species